UCCAGCAAUGCCGCGUGUGUGAAGAAGGCCUUCGGGUUGUAAAGCACUUUUGUCCGGAAAGAAAACCUCGUGGUUAAUACCCGUGGGGGAUGACGGUACCGGAAGAAUAAGCACCGGCUAACUACGUGCCAGCAGCCGCGGUAAUACGUAGGGUGCAAGCGUUAAUCGGAAUUACUGGGCGUAAAGCGUGCGCAGGCGGUUCGCUAAGACAGAUGUGAAAUCCCCGGGCUUAACCUGGGAACUGCAUUUGUGACUGGCGGGCUAGAGUAUGGCAGAGGGGGGUAGAAUUCCACGUGUAGCAGUGAAAUGCGUAGAGAUGUGGAGGAAUACCGAUGGCGAAGGCAGCCCCCUGGGCCAAUACUGACGCUCAUGCACGAAAGCGUGGGGAGCAAACAGGAUUAGAUACCCUGGUAGUCCACGCCCUAAACGAUGUCAACUAGUUGUCGGGUCUUCAUUGAC
rnacentral:rRNA from 1 species